rnacentral:rRNA from 1 species
CCUACGGGAGGCAGCAGUGAGGAAUAUUGGUCAAUGGGCGCGAGCCUGAACCAGCCAAGUCGCGUGAGGGAUGAAGGUUCUAUGGAUCGUAAACCUCUUUUAUAAGGGAAUAAAGUGUGGGACGUGUCCUAUUUUGUAUGUACAUUAUGAAUAAGGAUCGGCUAACUCCGUGCCAGCAGCCGCGGUAAUACGGAGGGUCCGAGCGUUAUCCGGAUUUAUUGGGUGUAAAGGGUGCGUAGGCGGCCUUUUAAGUCAGAGGUGAAAGUCGGUGGCUCAACCAUAGAAUUGCCGUUGAAACUGGGGGGCUUGAGUAUGUUUGAGGCAGGCGGAAUGCGUGGUGGAGCGGUGAAAUGCUUAGAUAUCACGCAGAACCCCGAUUGCGAAGGCAGCUUGCCAAGCCAUGACUGACGCUGAUGCACGAAAGCGUGGGGAUCAAACAGGAUUAGAUACCCCUGUAGUC